AUGUCGGUGUCAUCGCGCUUCGAGCUCCGGGACUCGUCGCUGUGUUGUUGCUGCAGCGGCGAUGUGGGGACAUUCGCCGACGCGGGGAACCUCGAGCACUGCGCCAAGUACCUCAAUCAGACGCUCGUUACCUUCGGUUUCCCGGCCUCGCUCGACCUAUUUGCCACAGAUCCGGUAUCUAUUGCAAGAACAUGCAACUGCAUGUAUGCACUGCUGCAGCAGCGCCAGAGAGACAUCGAAUUCCGGGAAUCGACCAAUGAUCUACGGCAACGUAUGCAGUCUGAUAUUUCAAGACUGGAAGCCAAGAUCGAAAGGAUGGAUGCCCAAUCGGCAGCAAAAGAUCGAGAGUUGGCCACUUUGACCCGAACGGAGGCCAAAAACACCGCAGCUCUGAAAGCUCAUAUUGAGAAGCUGCAGCAGGAACGUGACGAAUUUCAAAAAAUGGUUAUUGGAAAUCAGCAAGUACGCACCCAACAAAUUCAUGAAACGAAGAAGAAAGAAAAGGAAUACAUCAAAUUGCAGGAGAAGCUAAACCAAGUAUUGAUGGAGAAGAAAAAGGAAUCAUCACGUUCAGGAAUGGAAAUAAUGAACUUGUUGCAGAAAGAGGGACGACAGCGUGGAACAUGGACUGGAAAAAAGAAUGACAAUGACUACUACAAAAUGAUUGUUGAUGCAUAUGAAGUGAAGAAACAAGAACUAGUCCAGGAGAAUGCUGAUUUGCGGGCACUGUUACGUUCGAUGCAGAUGGAUAUGCGUGAGUUCCUUAAUGCUCCAACUGGAUCAUCACAGCCUGCUGUUGCUGGUAAUGGAAGACAGGAGGCAGGGUCUCCCCAGUCCCCACUUGGGGGCAAGACGGAUGUCUUUGACUUGCCCUUUCACAUGGCCAGAGACCAGAUAGAGGAGAGUUUGCGCACUAAAAUGGCUUCAGUGAAGGCACGAAUGACGCAACUUCAAGAUGCUCAAAAAGGUGCUGAAGUGACCUCGGAAGUUACCGAGCGUGAACUUGAGCUUGAAGCUCAGUUAGUUGAAGCCAGAAGCAUCAUCCAAGAGCAGGCGUCCAUCAUGUCUAAGCACUUCUCCAAGUCUGAUAAACCAAGGAGGUUAAGUGGCCUGGAUGCCGAGCGUGAGGCGAUUCUUUCUGCUUCUACAGAUGUGUAA
rnacentral:rRNA from 1 species